rfam:Blastocystis sp. NandII AV274scaffold_87, whole genome shotgun sequence.
GCUGGGUUGAGUCACGUCAACUUGUCACCUAAGUAGGAGUAAGUCAGUAGAAGGCUUGAUGCCCUUCUGGUUCGUUCUCGAAUUGUCAAUGACUUGCCCAAAUAACUGAGGAGGUGAAUAUGGAUGUCUCUUAGGAAUUUGAGAUGUCCAGGUUCUUAAGGAGUGGGGUACCGCUGGAGGCUGGCAACAGAGCACAGAAAACCUACCGCCUUUUCGGUUACUUGGAUUACGGGUCUACAUGACGUUUGGGUUCGUCCAUUAGGAUCUGUUCAUGUCGACUAUUGAUU